CGAUCGUCGCAAGUGAGUUUGUGAGUUUUUCCUUGCCCUCCGAGGGAUGAAGAUAAGGAGAAGAAUUGCCAAUUGUGCCCUUUCAGACGUCUUUGGGAUGAAGGGCGAUCCAAACCACGGGUUUGACUCCACGGGGGAAUCAAGAGUACUUUCCGGGAUUCCGCAAGUUUUCUGGCAAAACUUGUCAAAAUUGGAUGCGGCACAACGGUGGAAACAAAAGGGCCUUUGUUGAAUUGUUCCGUGACAAUGAGGAAGAACUUGAAAUGCUUGGCAGCACGUCAACGACAAAAAUAUUUGGGACAUUCCAAGACUGUCAUCAACCCUAUGUAUACGUAUAAGCAGCGGUUUGGGGGGGGCGGGGCUUCUCGCGGCAUAGAGGCUGGUAUAUUUACAAACAGGCGCAGCUCGGUCGAGUCAAAAAGGAGCAUUUUGCGCUUUUGUGGGUAUGAACCUGUCAAUUAAAGAAUGAGCCACUGCCCUUGAUAUGGCGGAAGAAGACACUUUGUUGAGUGCUAAGAACAGUCCGCUCCAAAAGUAUUGGAACAGACAGUUCAAAAUGUUGGUUUUUGUUGUAAACUGAAGACAUUUUGGGGUUUCAGAACAAAAGGCCCAUGUCAAAUAGAACUUUGGGAUUCCAUGGGGUUUAUAUCUCGAGGUGUGAAACAAGAACUUUUUCCAAAAUAUAUAUAUAUAUAUUUGUGUGUAUGUUUCUGUGCGUGGGUGCGGACUGAAAGUUCUUCUCUACUGAGCCCCGCUGCUGAAAACGACCUUAACGCAGCUCCUGCAUUAAGACACAUGAUGGCAGCAAAACUCUCUUUGGAUUUGGUGGAAAUGAAAACCGGAAAAGUCUGCAUGAUUCUUUCUCUUCAUUUUUUUUUUUUUUUAACAUUUAUUCAGACAGGAGCUGAACAUCUUUAUUGGCAGAGAACUGAAUUUCCAAAAAAGAAAAAGGCCACUCUUUUCAUCGGUCCAAAUGUCUUGCGGGCUCAAGACUCUGACUUUAAUCCUUCUCCAAACUCGUGCUUUGCCUUGGUUGACAUGUCCAGUGGCUGUAAGACUCUUAUGUUUCGCCUUCACGUUGUGUCACGUCACAAGACUCUGUCAUAUAUAUAUUUUGGAAAAAGUUCUUCUUUCACACCUCGAGAUAUAAACCCCAUGGAAUCCCAAAGUUCUAUUUGACAUUGGUCUUUUGUUCUGAAACCCCGAAAUGUCUUCAAACAUUUUGAACUUGUUAUUCCACUCAACGCAGUGUCUUCUUCCGCCAUAUCAAGGGCAGUGGCUUAUUCUUUAAUUGACAGGUUCACACCCACAAGAGCGCAAAAGUCUCCUUUUUGACUCGACCGAGCUGCGCCUGUUUGUAAAUACACCAGCCUCUAUGCCGCGAGAAUCCCCGCCCCCCCAAAACCUAUUUCAAUUCCACAUCCAAAUUCAGUUUAAAGGGGGGGGGGGGCCCUCUUUAUCACAAUGCUUUUUUUUAAACAUGCAGGCUGGCUGGCUGGCCCAUCUGCGAUUGCGUUUUAUUUCGAAAGACACAUUGAGAAGCGAGUAAAUUGCGAAUGAAUUUGUAUGCAAAGUCAAAGUCUGCUUUAUUGUCAAUUCCUUCACAUGUCAAGACACACAAAGAAACCCAAAUGACGUUUUCUCUACCCCACGGUGACGAGACGUAUUACACGAUAGACAUACAAGUAAACGACACAAUAUAAAAACAAGAAGGCACAGACACUAAGUAAUAACUAAUAAAUAAAUAAAUAAAAUGAGUGAUGAAUAAAUAAUAAACAAAUAACCCAAUUAAUAAGAGGAGCAAAACUGAGCCAGUGUGCGUACAGCAGACAGUAAGCAUAGCGCAAACUGAUUUCUCACUUAGCCAGUUGGAAAAAGAAGACGUCAACACAUAUUUGGAUGCUGAUAGUUCUUUAUUCAUUGAAUAGUUGUCCCCACAGUGCCAAAGAAGAGGAAGAAAAGUUGAAAGUAACCCCAAAAAUAUCAAGGCGACACUAAAGCUGAGUCAUUGAACUCAUGCAUAGUGCAAUAUUGGAGGCCAAGACAUUUAGUGAUGCGCCUCCUUGAUGCAAACGUACGAGCUCUCUGUUGCGCAAGGCACAUCGUCCCACUCUCCAUCUGUAAAAAAAAAAAAUCACGUGUAAGUAUGACUUCAUUCAAUUCUUCUGAGCAAACCUCAAAUGUUGUUGUUACUUACCAUCUGUUUCCAUCUCCACACAGUCACCGCCGUCAGCGGCCGCUCCUCCAUCAAAAUUGAUGAAGUCCACAUUUGAGCCAUCAGUCCACAUGAAAUCACCAUUCUAGAAGACCAAAUCAAAUAUGAAUGUGUCUUUCUUUUGUAAAGACUCACAUUUGAAGGUGGCAAAUCUCUACACAACACAAGUGAAACUGAUUUUGGAAUGUUUUACCAAAACUGCAUCAGUGAGACCAAUCCAGGCUUGGUUGGUAUCACUAGCUGCCCGAAUCAGUUCAAGAACCACCGCAUUUUCCAGCUCAUUCUGAAUGGAGACCAGAUUCCCACCAAGAAUGUUGCAGACGCUCUGACGAGGAACAAAAAAACAAACAAAGAGUAGAACGGGAAAUGUCCCUUUUUGGCUCCAUCCGACAAGAUAUUUCGACUUGGCACAAAGUUUGCUGUCAACGACAGUCUUGCAUACCUCGGCAUCAGCAAAAGUUCUGCUCUCAGAUUCAUAGAUGUAACAGAAACAGUCCAACUGAGUCCAGCCUUUUGGACAGUUAUUGCCUGCAGCGCAAUGGUUCAUUUUUUGGGGAGAAAAAGAAAAAAUCAAUUCAACUUAAUGUCAAUUGCGGACGAUUCAAAGGUAUUUGCGAAAGCCUCUUUGAGGCCCAGCUACCAACCUUUCACAGGAACAAUUUUGGCGGACCACUGUCGAGAAGACAAAGAUGUUGUUAAAAUCGCCAACGCAAUAGUACGGCCGGACUUCCAUUGAAGCUACUCACGACUCCAGUCAGCAGUCCGCUGAUCCCGCAAAGGAGGACCAAUGAGCCAAGAGUGAAUGCCAUCUGCAAGGUUGACACCAAAACCACAUUUGUCGACAUAAAGUCACGUCAAGUUUCAUUUGAUUAGCUAGAUUGUAAAAUGGCCUCCUUACCUUUAUGGUAGCGAGCGGUGCUUGAUACCGAUGACGAGCCUGGGCGCUGCUUAUAUACGGUUGAUGAGCGUCUUGGGUAUUUCCAAUCUUGUUUUUGUCAUUGACAUGCUGCCAGGCAUUUCAAUUUCUUCCUCAUUGUCACGGAACAAUUCAACAAGUGCCCUUUUGUUUCCACCGUUGUGCCGCAUUAAAUUUGAACAGGUUUUGCCAGAAAACUUGCGGAAUCACGGAAAGUAGUCUUGAUUCCCGUAACAUGCAAGCACACAAUUAAAAAAACAGGUUUCAAUGACACCAGGUUUGAUGAGUGAAAUGUACGAAUAGCACGUCAUUACAGGCUACUUUUUCCGUACCCGUGGAGUCAAACCCGUGGUUUGGAUCGCCCAAGAUGUCUCAAAGAUGUCUCAAAGGGCACAAUUGGCAAUUCUUCUCCUUAUCUUCAUCCCUCGGAGGGCAAGGAAAAACUCACAAAAGUACAACUGGGUCAAAAUGUGGUCAGUUUUUCAUUUUGGGAAAGCAAAACCCGCUUGUCCUCACUCUAUGGGGCAGCGGUCCAUUCAUUUUCCCUCGGAAGCAACAGAUUAUAGACGUUGGGUGUUCCAAACAAAGUGAAUUUUGGGUUGCCGCUGGAAAAAAGAGCAACACUGCAAUGAAGAUUGGAUUGAGUCAUUAAACCGACCGACCGAAGUAUGUUCCCCUGAGUGGUUUCAGCAUGUUUUCAUUUGUGUGUAUGCUUCUGUGCGUGGGUGCAGACUGAAAGUUCUUCUCUACUGAGCCACAGAACCAGCUGCUAAAAACGACCUUAACGCAGCUCCUGCAUUAAGACACAUGAUGGCAGCUGUUAGAAAAAUGUAUAUAUAUGUUAUCAUGCGUUCUCUAAUCAAUGCUUUCCCGCAAUAUUACUGCAAUAUAUGCUUGCUGUUUGGCCUUGCUGUUUUUAUGAUGUAGCACAGAAAAGAAAAGUUACGGCUGGGUCAGACAAGACGCAGCUGACAACUCAGCAAAAAGAAGACAUCUACCGAGACAGUUCCUUUCUAACAAAGACCACUUUGUUAGACAACAUGCCGCAUUGCAUGUCAAAGGUUUUCUUUUCUAUUCAGUCCACUUCCCACAUGUUCUUAUCAGUAUGUAACACCUACUAGUGAUUUUUUGCUUACGAGGCAAAGCCCACUUGCUUUCUUUAGGGGCCUUGUCUUACGAUUGUGGGGAGGGCAAAUCCAAAUGAAAAGAGCGGGAGUGUAUACAGAUAUUUAGUGUAGUGAGAUUGUUGUGACGCUAUCUGUACUGCACUCCUCGCAAGAAAAGACUUCAUAUUCCGUCUGACUUGUGGUUUGUUUGCUGUUGCUCUUCUCUUAACAGUUAUUCAGUCAGCAAAUUAAACCUGACAGCAGCAAAACUCUCUUUGGAUUUAGUGGAAAUGAAAACCGGAAAAGUCUGCAUGAUUCUUUCUCUUCAUUUUUUUUUUUUUAACACUUAUUCAAACAGGAGCUGAACAUCUUUAUUGGCAGAGAACUGAAUUUCCAAAAAAGAAAAAGGCCACUCUAAAUCUUUUCAUCGGUCCAAAUGUCUUGCGGCCUCGAGACUCUGACUUUGAUCCUUCUCCAAACUCGUGCUUUGCCUUGGUUGACUUGUUCAGUGGCUGUAAGACUCUUACGUUUCGCCUUCACAUUGUGUCACGUCACAAGACUCUGUCAUGUAUAUAUUUUGGAAAAAGUUCUUCUUUCACACCUCGAGAUAUAAACCCCAUGGAAUCCCAAAGUUCUAUUUGACAUCGGUCUUUUGUUCUGAAACCCCGAAAUGUCUUCAAACAUUUUGAACUUGUUAUUCCAAUACUUUUGGAGCGGACUGUUCUUAGCACUCAACAAAGCUGCUUCUUCCGCCAUAUCAAGGGCAGUGGCUCAUUCUUUAAUUGACAGGUUCACACCCACAAGAGCGCAAAAUGCUCCUUUUUGACCCGACCGAGCUGCGCCUGUUUGUAAAUACACCAGCCUCUAUGCCGCGAGAACCCCCGCACCCCCCCAACCCUAUUUGAAUUCCACAUCCAAAUUCAGUUUUAAGGGGGGGGGGGGGGCACUCUUUAUCACAAUGCUUUUUUUCAAAACAUGCAGGCUGGCUGGCUGGCCCAUCUGCGAUUGCGUUUUAUUUCGAAAGACACAUUGAGAAGCGAAUAAAUUGCGAAUGAAUUUGAAUGCAAACGUCUGAGUUAUCCGCUGUAUCGGAAAAGGAAGAUGUCAAUAGAGUACGCGCUUGCCCGCAAGCACAUUCCUAAGGCAUCAACUGAUUUCUCACUUAGCAAGUUGGAAAAAGAAGACGUAAACACCUAUUUGGAUGCUGAUAGUUUUUUAUUCAUUGAAUAGUUGUCCCCACAACGCCAAAGAUGAGAAGAAAAGUUGAAAGUAACCCCAAAAAUGUCAAGGCGACACUAAAGCUGAGUCAUUGAACUCAUGCAUAGUGCAAUAUUGGAGGCCAAGACAUUUAGUGAUGCACCUCCUUGAUGCAAACGUACGGGCUGUCUGUUGCGCAAGGCACAUCGUCCCACUCUCCAUCUGUAAAAAAAAAAAAUCACGUGUAAGUAUGACUUCAUUCAAUUCUUCUGAGCAAACCUCAAAUGUUGUUGUUACUUACCAUCUGUUUCCAUCUCCACACAGUCACCGCCGUCAGCGGCCGCUCCUCCAUCAAAAUUGAUGAAGUCCACAUUUGAGCCAUCAGUCCACAUGAAAUCACCAUUCUAGAAGACCAAAUCAAAUAUGAAUGUGUCUUUCUUUUGUAAAGACUCACAUUUGAAGGUGGCAAAUCUCUACACAACACAAGUGAAACUGAUUUUGGAAUGUUUUACCUCAACUCCAUCAUUGAGACCAAUCCAGGCUUGGUUGGUAUCACUAGCCGCCCGAAUCAGUUCAAGAACCACCGCAUUUUCCAGCUCAUUCUGAAUGGAGACCAGAUUCCCACCAAGAAUGUUGCAGACGCUCUGACGAGGAACAAAAAAACAAACAAAGAGUAGAACGGGAAAUGUCACUUUUUGGCUCCAUCCGACAAGAUAUUUCGACUCAGCACAAAGUUUGCUGUCAACGACAGUCUUGCAUACCUCGGCAUCAGCAAAAGUUCUGCUCUCAGAUUCAUAGAUGUAACAGAAACAGUCCAACUGAGUCCAGCCUUUUGGACAGUUAUUGCCUGCAGCGCAAUGGUUCAUUUUUUAGGGAGGAAAAAAAAAGAAAAUCAAUUCAACUUGGUGUCAAAGGUAUUUGCGAAAGCCUCUUUGAGGCCCAGCUACCCACCUUUCACAGGAACAAUUGUGGCGGACCGCUGUCGAGAAGACAAAGAUGUUGUUAAAAUCGCCAACGCAAUAGUACAGCCGGACUUCCAUUGAAGCUACUCACGACUCCAGUCAGCAGUCCGCUGAUCCCGCAAAGGAGGACCAAUGAGCCAAGAGUGAAUGCCAUCUGCAAGAUUGACACCAAAACCACAUUUGUCGACAUAAAGUCACGUCAAAUUUCAUUUGAUUAGCUAGAUUGUAAAACGGCCUCCUUACCUUUAUGGUAGCGAGCGAUGCUUGAUACCGACGACGAGCCUGGGCGCUGCUUAUAUAGGGUCGAUGAGCGUCUCGGGAAUUUCCAAUCUUGUUUUUGUCAUUAACUUUCUACCACACCUUUUAAUAACAUCUUUGUUCCCACGGAAGAACUCAACAAGUGCCCUUUUGUUUUACAGGACAGCAAAUGUAAAUCGGUGAAAUGAUGCCAAGUCCUCUUCAUUACUGUAGCAUUCUUCCACACCCUUGAAUAGUUGGCAAUAAUGACAGCAACAAAUACCAUGUCAUUAAAGUGGUAUUGUUAGAAAGCAUUCAGUCAUUCACCGGAUCAAUUGCAUGUCUGACGCAUGUGCCUGCACCGCAGGUUUCUUUCCGGGUGGUGUGACAAUUUUGGCCUACAAGUGCUCGACAAGGACGACCAGUCAAGCACGUCUGUCUUGGGGCCCAAAGUCCGCUGAGACGGACGCCUUCUCCCCGCCAGUAUGUAAAGGAUAAAGAGUGAGGCAGUCAAAGGAUCUUUUGGAUGGCAGGUGGACAAAGACGGAAACCAAAAUAAAAACUUGAUGUCAUCAAAGUAAUCAAUGGAUUUCUUGCUCCUUCUCAUAUGACUGCUAAGCCUGUCAGGUCAAGGCCGGCCGGGGUCCCGGACCACCAAACGUCAGAGACACAGCGGGAGGGAGGGAGGAGGAAGACGAGGGAAGCAAGGGGGUCCAAUGAUGGCGAGAAUCAAUGGCCUCCAGCGUGUGAUUGGCUGCCGACGCUGCAGAAGAGGAGCGAGCGAGCGGCGUGAAAAGGAGAUGGCUAGUCCUCUUCGUUAUCAGCGGUAGCAUUUGGAUCGGAACCCUCCGAAUCCCGACUGGCUUUGCACGCGCAUCAUUGGCAGCAUAUUUAUUUCUGGAGGGAGCGGGCGGGGGCUUUGGCCAUGAAAGCGCUGCCCAGGCGAGGAUGAGUGUGCGGAGGGAGAAUCAAUCAGAAGCGGAUUCACCUCAACAUCUGGAAGAGGCUCGGGAACAUCUGGAAAGGUGAGGAAUCCAAGGAUUUUUGGAGACAAUGGAAAUCCAAAAAGGAAAAAAAAAAAUGGAUGACGAUGAUCUUUGUUUUU